rnacentral:rRNA from 1 species
CCAGACUCCUACGGGAGGCAGCAGUGAGGAAUAUUGGUCAAUGGGCUUACGCCUGAACCAGCCAAGUCGCGUGAGGGAGGACUGCCCUAUGGGUUGUAAACCUCUUUUGUCAGGGAGCAAUUGGCGCUACGUGUAGCGUUAUCGAGAGUACCUGAAGAAAAAGCAUCGGCUAACUCCGUGCCAGCAGCCGCGGUAAUACGGAGGAUGCGAGCGUUAUCCGGAUUUAUUGGGUUUAAAGGGUGCGCAGGCGGCCUGUUAAGUCGGGGGGAAAAGCCGGGGGCUAACCCCCGGCGAGCCGUUGAAACUGGCGGGCUGGAGUUGGAGAGAAGUACGCGGAAUGCGCGGUGUAGCGGUGAAAUGCUUAGAUAUCGCGCAGAACUCCGAUUGCGAAGGCAGCAUACCGGCGCCCAACUGACGCUGAAGCACGAAAGCGUGGGUAUCGAACAGGAUUAGAUACCCGGGUAAA